AUUUGGUUAGGAUUUGAUUUAGAAUUAGGGUUGAUUUAGGAUUAGGAUUUGAUUUAGGUUUUAGGAUUUGAUUUAGGAUUUGAUUUAGGAUUUAGGAUUUGAUUUAAGAUUAGGAUUUGAUUUAGGUUUGAUUUAGGAUUAGGAUUUGGUUUAAAGUUUAGAAUUAGGAUUAGGAUUUGGUUUAAAGUUUAGAAUUUGGUUAGGAUUUGAUUUAGGGUUUAGAGUUUGGUUAGGAUUUUAUUUAGGAUUUGGUUAGGAUUUGAUUUAAGGUUUGAUUAGGAUUUGGUUUAGGAUCUAGGGUUUGGUUUAGGAUUUAAAAUUUAGUUAGGAUUUGAUUUAGGAUUUAGAAUUUGUUUAAGAUUUGGUUUAGAGUUUAGGGUUUGAUUAGGGUUUGGUUUAGGAUUUAAGAUUUGAUUUAGGAUUUAGGGUUUGAUUUAGGAUUUAAGAUUUUAUUAAGGUUUGUUUAAGGUUUAAAAUUUAAUUAGUUUUGGACUAAAGUUUGAAUGAAGUCUAAUAGGAUUUUAACUAGGAUUAAAUUAAGAUUGAAUUGAGAUGUAUUUGAGAGAUAUUUGUGAUUAUUCUAAUAUUUCUUUAAGAUUUUUUAUUAUUUCUUUGAAAUUACUUUGAGGUUUCUUUGAAUUUGAUUAAAGCUUACUUAGCAUUAUUAUGCUCUAAUUAGAGAAUUAUUAGUAUUCUAUUAGAAUUAGGAUUUUGUUGUUACAAUUUUCAUUCUACCUUCCACAGCCAAGCGUCCGAAGCAUUUUCAAGCAAGAUUUCACAUAUUUCGACAACGGUAGGCUAUACCAGAGAUUUCACUAGGGUAGGUUCUAAUUUAUUUGGUAU
rnacentral:lncRNA from 1 species